rnacentral:rRNA from 1 species
UCGGGAAUUUUGCCCAAUGGACGAAAGUCUGAGGCAGCAACUCCGCGUGAGGGAUGAAGGCUCUCGGGUCGUAAACCUCUUUUCUCAGGGAAGAUCCAAGACGGUACCUGAGGAAUAAGCGACGGCUAACUACGUGCCAGCAGCCGCGGUAAUACGUAGGUCGCAAGCGUUGUCCGGAUUUACUGGGCGUAAAGAGCGCGCAGGCGGCUGGCCAAGUCCGAUGUGAAAUCUCCCGGCUCAACUGGGAAACUGCAUCGGAAACUGGUCGGCUUGAAGGUGGGAGAGGGUAGUGGAAUUCCCGGUGUAGUGGUGAAAUGCGUAGAUAUCGGGAGGAACACCAGUGGCGAAGGCGACUACCUGGCCCAUUCUUGACGCUGAGGCGCGAAAGCUAGGGGAGCGAACGGG